rnacentral:lncRNA from 1 species
GGCAAAGUCAAAUUAAAUUCCAUCGUCAAAAAAGGCUGCCAGCUGGUGUUUGAGUUGAAACCUUUUUGCCAAGAAGGAAGGCGCUAUAUUCCUUGUCCAGGAAGAUGCUAUGGCUCUGCUCUCACAAGUGGAUUAAUGCUGUUAUCAUGAGAGUGGGUUAGUUGCCACUAGAAUGAGUUUCUGAUAAAAGGGAAGAAAUCUUAAAAGUUUGAGAAGAAAAUAUGGUAAAUAACUAAGAGAAAUCUCUGGUCAAUACUCAACAAGUCCUUCAGUCCAACAAUAUUCCAUACAUGAAAUCCUGCCAAAAACCAGGUGCUGUAUGAGUGAGCUGUGGCUGCCAUAGCAAGACAUCAUAGAUUGGAUGGCUUAAACAACAGAAAUUUAUUUUUUCACAGUUCUGGAGGCCAGAAAUCCCCAAUAAAGGUACUGACUGAUUAGGUGAGGGCUUUAUUUCUGCUGACAGACAACCACCUUCUUGUUGAGUUUUUAUACGGUCUUUUCUCUGUGGCUCAUAGAGAGAGACAGAGAGAGCUCUGGUGUUUUUUCCUCUUCUUAUUAGGACACCAGUCCUGUAUCACUAAGGCUCCAUCCUGAUGAUUCCACUUAGCCAGUAACUAUGGGAAUUAGGGCUUCAACAUACAAAUUUAGAGAAAUGUGAUUCCGUUCAUAACAGGUGCUUAACUAGAAUUCUGUAUGCACAUUGUUUUAUGAAAAAGCGACAUGAAACCUAAGGAUUUACUGUCUGUUGUAGAAUUUCUCAUAUAAAGAAGAACCUGAGGCAAGUACAGAAAUGUUACCUCCCUACCUUCUCAUUGGAAAGCAGCUCACAGAGAAUACAAUAGUUCUACCCACUAUGCCCGUAUAAUGCAAUGAUAUAUAUCCGUCACUAAAAUCUCCAUGCUUGUCUCACCCAACGUCUCAAACUAUGCUAUAACUAUUGGCGGAUCUCACAUAAUUGAGCAAUCUGAAUGAUGGAAUUGUACACUAGUUGAAUACAGGAGAUACUAUUUUACAUAGCACAGCAAAGCUCUCCCAUAACUCUACAAAUAGGGCUGAAAAAAUCAAAUACGUAAAAUGCAGCGUCAUGUUAUUGCAUGGUUAAUAAAAUUACUGACUCUUCUCAGCUAUCUGAGUGUUUUAGGUUCCUGAGAGCCAAGUCAGUCAUGUCAUUUCCGAAUUUUGGUGAUCAAAGGGUGGAUGAUCACAGUUUUACUCCAUUUCAACUUGAUUAUUAGUUACAUUAAAAAAAGGUUUUUCUAUGUGUGCUGUGAGACUGAUUCUCAUUUAGUAUGGUUUCAUUAAAAAUUAGGAUCCCUUUUUCCCUCUUGGUUAAGCCAGUAAGAUUGUAGAUUGUCAGACUCUGCCUUGUUCUUUUCCUGAAAUCCAAAGGUAAAAUGCAGUAACGAGAGUAGGGAUGCCAAUAAUGUGGAGGCAAGGAAAAAGCAGCUCCAGGGACAACAUCGGGAAGCGCGAUAGGAUGUUGGCUAAAAAGCUUGCUUUUUCACGUUAUGUCAGAUUUCACAUUCUAACUUCAUCAUUUCCUGGUUAAAGCAUCUUGAACAAAUCACUUUUUGAAUCACUUAGCACCAUGGCUUCUACAUUUCAAGCCCCAAAGGGUAGGAAUUAUUAUUAUUAAUGCUAUUACCAAAGAUGCUAACAAAGGAAAGGGUUUUCACUGUCCAACAUGGUUCAUGUUUAUGAAAUAUUUAUAAAUGGUGCUCACAUUCAAGAGCAAGCCUGUAGAGAUCUUUGGGCAAAUGCCUUGUUAAAGAGAAUUAAUCUAAAUAUUGUUUGUCAUUUGCUCAAGUACACUAAUUCUAUUAGUCUCAACUAUUCAAGGAUAAUCAUUGAAGGCCUAACUCCACAGGAACUGGAUUGAAGAUAAGAUUGGAGGACCACAAUUUCACCAGUACGUUACUUAGAAUAAGCAACUAGGUCCUCACAACAAUCCCUAUUUUCCAGAUGAGAGUGUUGAGGCUCAGAGAGGUAAGCAAAUUGUUUAACUUAUUCCAGCUCUCAAG